AUUUAUAUAGUAUAAAAUUCAUUACAUUUAACUUCCAAUUAAAAUAUUUAAAUUAAUUUAAUAUAAAUA
rnacentral:tRNA from 1 species